CUUUGACCAUUUCCCACGACCUCUGUCACUCCCCCGGAACCCAACCUCAUCACUUUCACCAAGAUCAGGCAUCCACUUCCUGAUCUCCUGCCUCCACCUGCUGAGCUCUCUGAAAUGAUCUGGAAUCUCUUGAUGCCUGUAUCCAGAGGACGCUCUCUGCCUUGUACCCACCGUUUGAAGCCACGGCAGCCACGGUGCUCUGGCAGCUGUUCAGCGUGGCCGAGAGGUGCCACGGUGGGGACGGGCUGCACUGCCUCACCAGCUUCCUCCUCCCAGCCAAGAAGGCCCUGCAGCACCUGCAGCAGGAAGCCUGUGCCAGGUACAGGGGUCUGGUCUUCCUGCACCCAGGCUGGCCGCUGUGCGCCCAUGAGAAGGUGGUGGUGCAGCUGGCGUCCCUGCACGGAGUCAGG
rnacentral:lncRNA from 1 species